rnacentral:misc_RNA from 1 species
AAGUCGUAACAAGGUUUCCGUAGGUGAACCUGCGGAAGGAUCAUUAUUGAAUAAAAUUGGGUUGGGUUGUUUGCUGGCUCUUAGGAGCAACGUGCACACCUACUCCAUUUUUUUUUAACCACCUGUGCACUCUGUGUAGACCUUGAAAAGCCAAGCUCUUCAGGUCUAUGUCUUCUUACAUACUCCAUAAAGAAUGUAUUAGAAUGUUGUCAAUGGGCCGUUUGUGCCUUUAAAAACAAAUACAACUUUCAACAACGGAUCUCUUGGCUCUC